GGGGUUGUGGCUCAGCGGUAGAGCACUUGCCUAGCAUGUGCAAUGCCCUGGGUUUGAUCCCCAGCACCACA
rnacentral:tRNA from 1 species